rnacentral:rRNA from 1 species
UGGCGGACGGGUGAGUAACACGUGAGUAACCUGCCUUUCAGAGGGGGAUAACGGCUGGAAACGGUCGCUAAUACCGCAUAAUAUAUUCGAUAGGCAUCUAUUGAAUAUCAAAGGAGCAAUCCGCUGAAAGAUGGACUCGCGUCUGAUUAGAUAGUUGGUGGGGUAAUGGCCUACCAAGUCGACGAUCAGUAGCCGGACUGAGAGGUUGAACGGCCACAUUGGGACUGAGAUACGGCCCAGACUCCUACGGGAGGCAGCAGUGGGGAAUAUUGCACAAUGGGGGAAACCCUGAUGCAGCAACGCCGCGUGAAGGAAGACGGUUUUCGGAUUGUAAACUUCUGUUCUUAGUGAAGAAAAAAAUGACGGUAACUAAGCAGCAAGCUCCGGCUAACUACGUGCCAGCAGCCGCGGUAAUACGUAGGGAGCGAGCGUUAUCCGGAUUUACUGGGUGUA